UGGGGGAUAUUGCGCAAUGGGGGAAACCCUGACGCAGCAACGCCGCGUGAAGGAAGACGGUUUUCGGAUUGUAAACUUCUUUGACGAGGGACGAUAAUGACGGUACCUCGAAAACAAGCCACGGCUAACUACGUGCCAGCAGCCGCGGUAAUACGUAGGUGGCGAGCGUUGUCCGGGAAUUACUGGGUGUAAAGGGCGAGUAGGCGGACAUACAAGUCAGAAGUGAAAUCUAGGGGCUCAACCCCUAAACUGCUUUUGAAACUGUAUGCCUUGAGUGCCGGAGAGGAAAGCGGAAUUCCUAGUGUAGCGGUGAAAUGCGUAGAUAUUAGGAGGAACACCAGUGGCGAAGGCGGCUUUCUGGACGGUAACUGACGCUGAGGCGCGAAAGCGUGGGGAGCAAACAGGAUUAGAUACC
rnacentral:rRNA from 1 species